ACACAGGAACGGACCCGGGGAGAACAACACAUCGUCUCUGCGCCAGGGAGAGAGGCGUCCGGGGAACCCAGCCGUGCCCACGCAUUUAUCUCCGCCUUCCGGCUCAGAAUUGUCUGGGUCACUUGCGACCCUCCUCUCAGGCUGCUUCUGACAGGCCCAAGUCACAGCCAACUUCAGGGGAGCUGUGUUGGAUCCCUCCAAACUCCGGGAAUGAUGUGACCUCCCCGGCGCUCACCCUGGGCCUCUAGGUUAGACUCAGCCCAGACCCUGGCUCACAGGGAAGCAGAGCCCAUGGCUGGCCUCCACCCGCUCAGACGCCCGCACACAGGCCAGGGGAGGGCUUGGGGGCAGCUCUGGGAGGGUCCCUGUUUGCGCUGUGGGUGUCCAAGGCUGGGUGUGCAGAGCUGAGGUUGCCACACACCUGAGGGACUCUCGCAUAAGGAUGGCGCAGGGCUGGAAGCUGGACUGAGACAGUGAAUGAGACAGCGCUGCCGGCUCUCUCCGCGCCGUGGACUGGCUCCUAGGCAGUCUCACGAGCAAGUGUGCUGUUGCUCGUGCACGUGUGUUUUAACUGAGAUGUGAGCUGGCGCGUUUUCUCCACCCGGCUCCAUCUGCUGGGUCCCUCCACAUUGCUGCGCGUGUGCCUCCAGUGCCAUGGGGUCCCCACUGUGGGCAGCCCUGCAUUUUGCCCAACUGCCUCCCAAACCAUGGAACCCCAGUGACCUCCAACUUGCCGCCAUGACGAGCCACUCUCAUUCAUAUCCUCAAACACGGUGCUCUGAGCCCGAAUGAGGGUUUCUUUAGAGAGAUAUCUGGGGACCAAACUGUAGGGACAGAGCUCCCGUCUAAGGUGGGCCUGUGGUGAGGUCUCCCCAGUGGUACACUUUAAUCCCACAGCAGGGCUUGCAGGCCGCCCUGCUCCAUCCCCACCAACACUGGGCAGGAUCUAGCCUCCAAACCUUUGCCAGUCUAAUAGUAUAAAAUGAUAGCUCGGUGCUAUUUUGGUUUUGCAUUUCCAUGGUGAACAAUGAGUUUGAGAGUUUUUGUUCAAAAGUCCUUUGGGAGUUCGAGACCAGACUGGGCCACCAGGAGUUCAAGACCAGCCCGGGCAAUUCAGUGAGAUGUUCAUCUCUACAAAAAAUAAGAAAGAUAAAAAAUUAGCCAGGCAUGUUUGUGUGUGCCUGUGGUCCCAGCUCCUCAGGAGGCUGAGGUGGGAGGAUGGCUUGACCCCGGGAGGUGGAGGCUGCAGUGAGUUGUGAUCGUGUCAGUGCACGGCUAGCCUGGGCAACAGAGUGAGACCCCGUUUCUAAAAUAAAAAUAAAAAACAAAAGAGAAAAGUCCUUUGGGUUUCGUCUUGGUAUUACUCAGCAGAGGACAGAGGUGUCAGUUUCCAUCCUCCGGCAAGCAGAUGCUGAGACAAAGCUCGGUGGGAGGUGACACCCAAGAGGAAGGGGCGGGAUUGGACAGGGACAGCCUUCAGAUCACAAUGGGGAUCGGACCCCUGGGAGGGGAGAGAGGGAGGAAGAGAACUGGUCGGCUGUGAAGCAGAUCUGAUAGGGCCCUGCUGCGACACCAACAGCAGCUCAGGGCCAAGGAUGCUGUUGCAGGAACAAGGGACAGACCCCCCAUACCACUGGCUCAGUGCCUGGAGCACGUGGCCUCUGUGGCUGCAGCCCGAGGCUGUCGGCUGAGGCACUCCACACACCUGGAGAGCACGUUCUCUGUGGAAGGAGACUGCAGCAUUCCCACGGCUCCAGAGCAGUAGUGGCGGCACCUGGAGAAAGAAGUCCACCACCUUCCUGAUGGCGGACUCUUUCUGCAGGCUCGCUGCAGUAACAGACUGGGAGCUCCGGACCUGGCGUAUUGCUAGCUCAGUCUGACGGGGUCCCGGCUUUCCUCUGAGGUUCUCCUCCCAAGAGUGCCGAGAUUGAUGCUGUCCCAUCCAGCGUCUCCGCGGUCACCAGCUCUUCACAUCCCUGGGUGAAGAUGGGGAGA
rnacentral:lncRNA from 1 species